UGUCUUAUUUAUUUUUUUAUUUUAAUCUAUACAAAAAAUAAUGGAACUGUUCAUCAUUCCUUUUAGGCCUGGUUUCACAGACCGGGCUUGGAUUAAGCCAGGAUUAGGCUGUAGUUAAAAUAGAACAUUGAAGUAGCUUUUAUAAGCAUGCCUUAGAAAAACAUUAUUGAUGUGCAUCUUGAGACAAAACCAUGACACUGACACAUUUUUUGUUUUUGUUUAUAAUACCCAAUAGUUGCCAGAUGCAGUCCUGUCGGAAAUUCUUCUUCACGUGGUUCUGGAGGAAGGUGAUGCUGCAUUAUUAAAUCUGUCUUUGGUUUGUUCCAAAUUCAGAAGUCUGGUGGAUACAGACUCAUUUCGAAAGAGGGCACACUUCUGCUGGCUUGACAGUGUAACAAAAUGGAGAACAAAGUCUGAGCCAUGCCAGGAAUUCUUCAAAAUGUACACACUGCAGCCCUGCAGACACUGCCAUGAGGUUUACAAGAACUGCUUACCAGGUCACCGUAGCCACCAGAUCCAGUCUGUAUCCAAGUCAGAUGGUCACUGCAGUCACCCGGAUCCAGUAUGUAUCCAGCCCAGAUGGUGGAUCAGCAUCUAGAAAGGACCUCUACAGCCCUGAAAGACAGCGGAGACCAGGACUAGAGCCCCAGAGACAGAUCCCCUGUAAAGACCUUGUCUCAGAUGACCACCGGGACAAGACCACAGGAAACAGAUGAUUGUUCUGCAAAAUCUGACUUUGUUGCAGCGGAAUUGAACUGCUGGUUUCGUCUGGUCAGAGGAGAACUUCCCCCCCACCUAGCUCUCAGGAGAGACAUGGAGCGGCAUCAUCUUCCGCCUUCGCUUGUCCUUCAAGGCAGCUUGAAGUAAGCUUGUGUUACUGAAGUAACCAAUAACAUCGAUACAAGUUUUAUUCAUGUUACAGUGUGCAGCAGUUUGUUGUGGGUUAUUAUUGUCAUUCAGUAACACAAGCUUACUUCAAGCUGCCUUGAAGGACAAGAGCUCAUCUUUACAGACUGAGACGAUCGAAGGCCAAAUAUUAUUUACAUAUUUAGUAAUACAAAUCACCACGAGAGCUUUCCAAUAUGCGCGCCACUGAGUGGCGUCUGUACUUCCCUGUCAGAGAGCACCUGUCCAUCAAUAGCUCACUAUCCAAUCAGAGUAGAUCACUGUUAAGUCCGCCCCCACGAGAGGUUUGUGUCAAAACACCAAACGAAAAACUGCGAAACGUAAGCGAAAUCUGUGGCAAUGCAUUCAGAAUCCACAAUUAGCGAAAACAAAUCUUUGAAAAACAUUAACAAAGAAUGAAGCAUAUUUGAAGAGCCUGUUAAAUUUGUGCGACUGAAUUAAUUUUUUUCAUUUUCAUUGUGUUUUUCUUCUUUUGUAAUGGCAUAUUUUUGAUAGUUUCUGAUAAAGUUACAUUCAGUUUUAUAAAGUUUCGUUCAUUUUUAUAGAAGCAAAUGUAAUUCCAUAUUCCUGCUGCCAGUGGCGGCCACUUCCUGCUGACAGCUGCCGAUUUUUCGCCGAACCCCCUCUCAUAAAGCCCUCCCUACACCUACCCUAACCCUACCCAAUAUUUAUUUUCAACCUUUUAAUUAUUUCCUUAAUUUUUAUUGAAAAUAAAUGCCUUUCCGAUACGAUAUGAGAUUUGAAAAAGGAGAAAAAAUGUUUGGCAAAAGGCGGACACGAACUCAGGUCGAUUGCAUCGAAAGGCACACAUUUUAACCACUAAUCCACUACAACUAAUGUUUACGUAAUGUCGUUUAUCAGUGUUAACUAUCGCAAUCACAUGUUGGUGGGCGAUAGUGUAAGUAGUUUCUGACAAGGCAGGCUUGCACUUAAAUAGACCCUGAUUCUUUUAACAUUAUAUCAAAUGUUGAAACGGCUGACAUGACGGCUUAUACAUGUGUUCGUUUGUAAAUAAAGGCUAACAAAAUUUAAUCCAGAGCACACACGUCUCAACAUUACGAUAUAAAACAGGUUCAAAAGCUUAUUUAAGUCCUCUCUGUAUAGCCUGCCACUUUUACACAUGCUCCAGCUACAUUUUUAUUUCCAUACUUUUGAAUUACUGCUGUAUAAAACAGUUUAAAAUCACCCAAAGAUGCAGGACUUUUAUUAUACAACUCUUGACAAGACUGCGAAUGACAACAGUUUCCAAGCCAGGAUUGGUUAAAUAAAACGUAUAAGGUGGGGCUCAACAAAAGUGUAUUUGCAUGCACAUUGUAGAUAUCUAUAAACGUAUUUUGACUAGUCAAAUUGUUAAUUCCAGAUAUCUACAUUGCAAUUAUGCCUAGUCACAAAGCUAAAUGCAGAUAUCUCUAAAUAUAGUUCUUCCUAUUCAAAAAUCUGAUUGGGAUAUCCAAGUCAAAAUCAUAUGGAAGCAGAUUAGUCUCAAAUAUAAUUCAUGCAAAAAACAUGAUUCACACAUGCGUAGACAAUUUCACAUGCAUGAAACCUAAUUCACAUACACACAAAAAAAAUUCACGUGCGUGAAAAAAAAAAAUAUUCACAAAAAGCAAUUCACAUGCGCAAAAUAAAAUUAUAUAUUCAUAAAAUACAUUUCACAAAUGCAAAACACAAUUCGUAGAUAUACAACUGUGCACAAAAACCUUUGAAUGUUUAAAAUGUACGAGUGUCUGAAUGUACAAAUCGUCAUUUACUACGAAUCCACUCGGAUUUGUGUGUGUGUGUUUUUGAGACUUUCCUGGCAGAGCUCUCUUCCCACGUCGGUCUGUCGUACUCUUUAGCCAAUCAAAUGCGAGCUUACCAUUCAACCAAUCAUAUCAUAAGCCACUGAGAGUGCAUUCAAGGAGCACGAUUCUGCGCACCUUUUGCGCAAUAUGGAUUAAUUAGAACGGAAAUUAAGCCUACAUCAGUAAUCCCAUAGACAGUAAAAGAAAUGGACACAGCAACCCAAUUGGAACUCAAUUGAGACAAGUGAAGCCCAUUUUUAGCGAUUUUUAGCACUUCCGUUUCUGACGUGCAGACUCAAACAAAGGAAGCUUCUGCCAUUAUUGUGACUUCAUCUGAACAUGUGCAAAACUACUCUCCUUGAAUGCACUCUCAGUGGCUUAUGAUAUGAUUGGUUGAAUGGUAAGCUCGCAUCUGAUUGGCUAAAGAGUACGACAGACCGACGUGGGAAGAGAGCUCUGCCAGGAAAGUCUCAAAAACACACACACAAAUCCGAGUGGAUUCGUAGUAAAUGACGAUUUGUACAUUCAGACACUCGUACAUUUUAAACAUUCAGGUUUUUGUGCACAGUUGUAUAUCUACAAAUUGUGUUUUGCAUUUGUGAAAUGUAUUUUAUGAAUAUAUAAUUUUUAUUUUGCGCAUGUGAAUUGCUUUUUUUGUGAAUAUAUUUUUUUUUUCACGCACGUGAAUUUUUUUUGUGUGUACGUGAAUUAGGUUUCAUGCAUGUGAAAUUGUCUACGCAUGUGUGAAUCGUGUUUUUUGUGUGAAUUAUAUUUGAGACUAAUCUGCUUCCAUAAAAUCAUAUUUAAAGAUAUCUUGAAUUGGGAUUACGACUAGUCAAAACUCAUUUGAAGAUAUCUUUAAUUGAAUUAUCACUAGUCAAAUUGUAGUUUGAGAUAUCUUUAAUUAGAGUUUUGACUAGGCAAAUCAUAUUUAAAGAUAUCUUGAAUUGUGAUUACGACUAGUCAAAACUAAUUUGAAGAUAUCUGCAAAUAUUUUUCAAUGGAAGUCAGUGGAAGAUUAUGACUAGUCAUAAUAGCAUUGUUGAUAUCUGGAAUGUGUAUUAUGACUAGUCAAAAUGAAAUUGUAGAUAUCUUGAAUCUUGAGUCAUAAUUGCAAUAUAGAUAUCUGGAAUUACAAUUGCUCCUAUCUGAAAUUAUGUUUAUGGAUAGUCAAAAACAAGAGGCUUGUUUGAGAUGCACCUUGCCUCGCCUGAAAUGUAAGCGACAGUAGGCGGCUGCAGUAAGGGGAGGGGUCAAAAAAGAUCUUUGAAGUCGGACACUUCCUGAAUCUCGCUGUUUUGUCGCCUGCAAAGUCAGCAAUGGAGGAGAUCGCGUUCGCAUUUUUUUAUCGCAGACACAGUGGAUGUAAUCGAAAUACCACUGUUUUGUCAUCAUGUGCAUCAAUUCCUUUGUUUUGCUGAACACAAAGGAGGAAAUUUAGAAAAAUGUUUGCAAACAAGCAGGUUUCUGCCACCAUUUCACGUCCAUAGUAUUUUUCCAUAUGCAAGUCAAAGCUGUUUUGUAGCAAACAUUCUUCAGAAUUUCUUCCCUUGUUUUAAGCCAGACCCUGACACUUCUCAGAUGAAACCACACAAAGAUGAGGCAUAAUGGCUAAACAGUCCAUUUAGAUAUGUAUGUGUGCAUGUAUAUUUUUAAUGGAUUGAUUUAUUAAUUCACAUAAACAUACAAUAGAAUAAAGUGAAAAUCACAACAAGGAAGAAUUCUAAUUAAGAGAAAAAUAAACCCAUGUCCUAAUUCUUAACUUCACUAGGCGUGUUUUGUUUUUGUUUAGUUCGCAUGUAAAUAUAAAUAAAUAAAUGGGUAAUCUAAUUCUUAGAAUAAAGAGAAAAUGUAUCAGUUGACAUUCUCAGCCAAUGACAAUGAAGCUGUGUCGUCAGUCAGUCGUUUCUCGGACAUAAUUUGGACACUUUUCUAACCGGCAUGCAUCUCGCGGUGAUCACCGGUGAUCGGUUCUGCGCAGAUUUUGCUCAUCUCAAACAAGCCUAUUUAUCUAUUGUGCCAAGAAGGCUGUCUGUUCGUUGACACAGGCACGAACUGAUUGGCAGAGGCGGACAGAGUACACAGCUUCAUUACUUGAGUAAAAGUACAGAUACCCCUUGCUAAAUUUUACUCAAGUACAAGUAAAAGUACUACAGUCAGAUGUCUACUUAAGUAAAAGUACUGAAGUACUUGUUUUUAAAAGUACUUGAGUAUCAAGAGUACAAGAGUACAUUUUCUAAAUAUUGCAUUACUACUGCCACAGUGCUUACAUUUAUGUACAGAAACGUCCUACAUGGAGUUAUGAAAAAUUUUAAUGUUAAUACCUUGGAGAAUGUAAAAGAAAUUGAAAGUAAAAUCAAGUAAUUUUCAUCUUUUUACCAUGUUGCUUUAUUUAACAUUUCUCA
ensembl:lncRNA